CGUUUGCGGCCGACGAGGCGACGACCUCUCCGAGAACCGAGAACGACUCUUCCUCCCCUUUGCUUCCCCAGACCGCUCUGCCGCGUCAAUCUCGCGCCCCGUCCCGCUUCCGCUGCCGCUUGCCCGCUUCCUCGUCGCCGCCAUCUUGCUCUGGUCCCCGUGGCAGCGGCCGCUGCUCCAAGUAGGAGCCGAGUGAUUCUCUGGCCGAAGAUCCAGGCUGAGUCGGCGUCGCCGGCAGCAGAGGCGGGAGACUCCGCCAUCAUGUCGUUGGACUCGGAGGCCUCCUCGCAGGGCGGGGACUACCGUAGCUUCCGCCAGAUCACUCGAGAUCGUUUAUUAUUUGAAAUGCUCAGAUCAACUAGGAAGAAUUCGAAAUCAACAUGGAAGGUAUCCUUUUCCAUUGAACAUUAUGAGAAGCAAUUUCAGGUCCUUAUCAUGGAUAAGUUUACAGUCAAGAUUAUGUCUUAUGCAUGCAAGAUGGCAGAUAUCACAGAAGAAGGGGUUUCAUUGGUCGAAGACUUAUAUAAACGAAGGCAGCCAUUGCCUUCACUGGAUGCCAUAUAUUUCAUCCAACCAACUAAAGAAAACAUUGUCAUGUUCCUAUCUGACAUGUCAGGAAGAAGCCCUUUGUACAAGAAGGCAUAUGUGUUUUUCAGUUCUCCCGUGCAUAAAGAAUUGGUUGCUCAAAUAAAAAAGGAUUCAAGUGUACUACCUCGUAUUGCUGCACUUAGUGAGAUGAAUUUGGAGUACUUUGCUAUUGAUUCCCAGGGUUUCACAACUGACCAUGAGAGGGCAUUGGAAGAACUUUUUAGUGAAAAUGCAGAAGGAUCUCACAAGUAUAAUGCUUGUCUGAACACAAUGGCUACUCGUAUAUCUACAGUAUUUGCAUCAAUGAGGGAAUUCCCUCGUGUACACUACCGUGUUGCCAAGACGAUUGAUGCUUCUACAAUGACAACACUACGAGACUUGAUCCCCACAAAACUUGCUGCUAGUGUAUGGAAUUGUCUUGCGAAAUAUAAAACGACAGUACCUGAAUUUCCUCAAACAGAAACAUGUGAAUUACUUAUAGUAGACCGUUCAUUGGAUCAGAUUGCGCCAAUUAUUCAUGAAUGGACUUAUGAUGCUAUGUGCCAUGAUCUGCUUUGUAUGGAUGGCAAUAAGUAUGUUCAUGAGGUUCCAACUAAAAAUGGGUCGGCAACUGAAAAAAAGGAGGUUCUGUUAGAAGAUCAUGACCCUGUCUGGCUUGAGCUUAGGCAUGCACAUAUAGCAGAUGCAAGUGAGAGACUACAUGAUAAAAUGACUAACUUCAUUUCAAAGAACAAAGCUGCACAAUUGCACCAAGCACGAACCGGUGGGGAAUUAUCUACAAGAGAUUUACAAAAAAUGGUUCAGGCUCUUCCACAGUACAAUGAUCAAAUUGAUAAGCUUUCCCUGCAUGUUGAGAUUGCAGGAAAACUCAAUAACAUAAUACGGGAACAAUGUCUUCGGGAUGUUGGACAACUAGAGCAAGAUCUUGUGUUUGGUGAUGCUGGAACAAAAGAACUAAUCAACUUUUUGAGAACACAAUUGGUUGUAAGUCGUGAAAAUAAGUUGCGCUUGCUGAUGAUUUAUGCAGCACUUAACCCGGAGAAGUUUGAAAGCGACAAGGGUGCAAAAUUAAUGCAGUUGGCAGGAUUAUCUGCUGAUGACAUGAUUGCUGUAAAUAAUAUGCGUUGCUUAUGUGGGCCUGAUACCAAAAAGUCUUCAGUAGGGGGUUUUGCACUGAAAUUUGAUGUCCAUAAGAAGAAGCACGCACAUCGAAAAGAGCGAACAGGGGAAGAAUCAGCAUGGGCACUAUCCCGAUUUUAUCCUAUUUUGGAGGGUUGAUUUUCAAUUUGCUAGAAAACAUGGCAGAAUAUUACAAAGAUGGUCAAGGACUUCUGGGAAGUUGGCGUGAAUUUAAUCACGACAAAAAAGACAAUCCCUCUGUCCCAAAAUAUAAGGACUUCUGGGAAUUUUAGGACAAUUAAGUGUUGGCACAGCAACCCUGCACCGAGGAAUUGAUUGAAAAGCUUAGCAAAGGUGAGCUUCCAAAAGAUGAAUAUAACUGUAUGAACGACCCUAGUCCUAGUGCUCAUGGACCGCCAACCAGUAGCUCUGCCCGAUCAAGUCCCGCUCACUCUAUGCGAUCCAGACGAACAGGUGGCACAUGGGCUAGACCUCGUGGCUCUGAUGAUGGAUAUUCAAGUGAUUCUGUGUUGAAACAUGCCUCCAGUGACUUCAGGAAGCUUGGUCAGCGUAUAUUUGUUUUUGUAAUAGGCGGUGCUACUCGAUCAGAGUUACGUGCUGCACACAAGCUUUCAUCCAAGCUGAAGCGAGACAUCAUCCUUGGUUCAUCUAGCCUUGAUGAUCCUCCCCAGUUCAUCACAAAAUUAAAGUUGAUGUCAGCAGAAGAAUUGACACUUGAUGAUCUUCAGCUGUAAAUGGCGUCAUCGCCCCCUUUGAAUGGGUUAGUUCAAUAUGAACUUUCGCCAUAAGUUGUAUGUAACCUUUUUAUUUUCUUUUUAGUUUUCUGUCCGCUCUUGUUUGUGCGGGCAUAUCAUAUUCAUUCGGUGAAAUGUAUUCUUAACACCACUUUUACUGGUGAAUGUAUAUAAAUAGUGGCCGACAUAACUAUACGGAUCAGUUUUUUUAGAUUGGGUUGGUUUGUUGGUUUCCUUCUCUACGAACUUCUGUAUCCACAUGUGAUGAGGCAGGUUAUACUUUUGAAUGUAUUCCCUCAGUUUU